UACAGAGGUCCCAAGCGUUGUUCGGAUUCACUGGGCGUAAAGGGUGCGUAGGUGGUCGGGUAAGUUUAAGGUGAAAGCUCCGGGCUCAACCCGGAAAUGGCCUUGAAUACUAUCCGGCUCGAGGGUUGGAGGGGGGACUGGAAUUCUCGGUGUAGCAGUGAAAUGCGUAGAUAUCGAGAGGAACACCAGUGGCGAAGGCGAGUCCCUGGACAACACCUGACACUGAGGCACGAAAGCUAGGGGAGCAAACGGGA
rnacentral:rRNA from 1 species